rnacentral:rRNA from 1 species
AUCCUGGCUCAGGAUGAACGCUAGCUACAGGCUUAACACAUGCAAGUCGAGGGGAAACGAUAGAGAAAGCUUGCUUUUUCUAGGCGUCGACCGGCGCACGGGUGAGUAACGCGUAUCCAACCUGCCCAUCACUUGGGGAUAACCUUGCGAAAGUAAGACUAAUACCCAAUGACGUCUCUAGAAGACAUCUGAAAGAGAUUAAAGAUUUAUCGGUGAUGGAUGGGGAUGCGUCUGAUUAGCUUGUUGGCGGGGUAACGGCCCACCAAGGCGACGAUCAGUAGGGGUUCUGAGAGGAAGGUCCCCCACAUUGGAACUGAGACACGGUCCAAACUCCUACGGGAGGCAGCAGUGAGGAAUAUUGGUCAAUGGACGAGAGUCUGAACCAGCCAAGUAGCGUGCAGGAUGACGGCCCUAUGGGUUGUAAACUGCUUUAUAAGGGAAUAAAGUGAGUCUCGUGAGACUUUUGCAUGUACCUUAUGAAUAAGGACCGGCUAAUUCCGUG